rnacentral:rRNA from 1 species
AUUGAACGCUGGCGGCAGGCUUAACACAUGCCAGUCGAACGGUAGCAGGAGAAAGCUUGCUUUCUUGCUGACGAGUGGCGGACGGGUGAGUAAUGCUUGGGAAUCUGGCUUAUGGAGGGGGAUAACUACGGGAAACUGUAGCUAAUACCGCGUAGAAUCGGAAGAUGAAAGUGCGGGACCGCAAGGCCGCAUGCCAUGAGAUGAGCCCAAGUGGGAUUAGGUAGUUGGUGGGGUAAGGGCCUACCAAGCCUGCGAUCUCUAGCUGGUCUGAGAGGAUGGCCAGCCACACUGGGACUGAGACACGGUCCAGACUCCUACGGGAGGCAGCAGUGGGGAAUAUUGCGCAAUGGGGGGAACCCUGACGCAGCCAUGCCGCGUGAAUGAAGAAGGCCUUCGGGUUGUAAAGUUCUUUCGGUAUUGAGGAAGGUUGAUGUGUUAAUAGUACAUCAAAUUGACGUUAAAUACAGAAGAAGCACCGGCUAACUCCGUG